AGAAAGGAAGGUAAGGGGGGAGUUUGCUUAAGAAGUGGAAUCGUGAAAGGCUGCGAGGAUUGUCAUGAGAAUUUAAGGGAAGAAAGGGAGACUGGGAAGCGAGUUUCAUGGCCUCGUUAAUGAGUUCGUUGAAACAGGCAUACAGUGUGUUAAGUACUUUCAUUAACUGCAAACAUUAAUUGCACCCUUUAGGCUUUAGCUUAAAAUCUUUCACGGAAACUUUGACACUUUUCUUUUUUUUUUCGCAGAAUUUGUUCCGACCAAUCAACAAUUCCAAACUGAUAAGUUGGGGGUUAUUAUUACGCUACACUGUGUAGUGAAAGAGAGGGUGGAGGUUGUAUCCAAAAAAAAAAAAAAAAGAGUCGGUCGGUGCAGGUGCCUUGUUAUAAGUGUAAUUGAUUUUGACUAGUUUUUUCUUUGGAUAUAAUUCUUUCGGACCAGGGUAAAAGAAUUAUAAAGCCAGUUUAUUUGUAUUUAUUUUUUUACUUAAAUGUAAAUAAAUAAAUUAAAUGAUGAUGUGUGAUUGUGGGGUUGCUAAUAUUAGUCCCUUCACAUAAAAAUUUCUAUCUA
rnacentral:lncRNA from 1 species